CCCUUAGAUGUUCUGGGCAGCACGCGCGCUACAAUGGUCUUCGCAAACGGAUGCAUUCUCGAAGGAGAAUGCCAAUCUUGGAAUCUAUGCCUUGGUCGGGACAGUUGCUUGCGAUUUUUCGACUCGAACCAGGAAUUCCUUGUAAUCGUGAUUCAUCACAUCACGAUGAAUACGUCCCUGCCCUUUGUACACACCGCCCGUCGCUCCUACCGAUCGAAGAGUUAGGUGAAUUGUUUUGAUCGAUAAGAUUUGACUAUGGUCAACUCUCGUUGUGAAAUUCUGUGAAGCUGACUGUUUAGAGGAAGGAAAAGUCGUAACA
rnacentral:rRNA from 1 species